rnacentral:rRNA from 1 species
UACGUAGGGUGCGAGCGUUGUCCGGAAUUAUUGGGCGUAAAGAGCUUGUAGGCGGUCUGUCGCGUCUGCUGUGAAAAUCCGGGGCUCAACCCCGGACUUGCAGUGGGUACGGGCAGACUAGAGUGUGGUAGGGGAGACUGGAAUUCCUGGUGUAGCGGUGAAAUGCGCAGAUAUCAGGAGGAACACCGAUGGCGAAGGCAGGUCUCUGGGCCACUACUGACGC